AGAUUACAGCAAGUACUUUGAAAUCAUCAACGACCUGAGGAACAAGGUAAAAAAAAUCUUUCGCUUUUCACUGAAUGUAAAGUUACUCUUUAAGUUUGACAAGUAACUCUCUUGUUUACAGAUUCUCAAUGCCACUAUUGAUAACUCCAGAGUUAUUCUACAAAUUGACAAUGCAAGACUGGCUGCUGAUG